GCACCACGGAGUAGGCCUACUCGAUUUGGAACAGUAGGGCCUACUCACAUCUGAAAAAUUAACGUAGUAGAUAGUGCGGAUAGUAUACUUCCUUUAAGUAUACUCAUGGAAGUACGGGUAUUGGAACACGGCACUGUAGUUUGUUGGAAUUCUAUGCAUACUGUGUGCAGCAGUACCUCCGUCCGUCGACGGACCUCAUUGACUUUGCAUGGGGGCGCUCGCGAAAUGCAUUUCGGGUCCGUCCCUUCUGUCAGCUCCGUGGCCUGAGUCAAAAAGAUUCGAAUUUUUCAACUUUUCAGGCAGCGACGUAUCCGUCGGCCAAUCAGACUCAGUAAUGCAAAUAUACGCAAGGACAAUGUCCAAUGAAUUCGCCUUUGUAAUACAACCUGGAAGAACACAUGGAUACGUGAAAAAGCCCCCAUCCGUCGACUGACGCAUGUAGUGUGAACAAGGCGUAGGUACCAUCAGUACAGCUGACCAAUCACAGCGGGACACGUCAGGACCAGUGUUGCCAGAUUGGAGAUGCUAAGGAAACACGUAUUUAUUUAGACUUAUUACUUUUUUCUACAAAUCUAGACACUUCGUUUACUAAACACAGAAUAAUGCUACUGAAGCUAUAUGAUGUAGCUCUAUGAAGUAGAUCUAUGAUGUGGCUAUAUUGUGAGGCUCUAUGUGAUGUUGCUCAACUGUAUAGCUCUAUGGUGUAGCUCUAUAAAGUCUUCACUCUUCACGGAACCAGAGGCUUUACUGACCAAUCACAACACGAGUUGUAGUUUAUCAGGGACUUCAAGACGAGCCUGAUUGGCUGGAGAGACGCUGCAUGAGAAGAGAAACGCGAAAACACAGGCGUAGAAUCCACGUUUUACUGACGUGAUGGGGUCAUUAAAGUAGGCAAAGGGUCACAAACACCUCCAACGACAUUCUUAGACUUUAUGAGUCGUACUGCGAUAAUCCCACUUCUGGCAACGCUGGUCAGUUCAAGUAUGGCUGCAUGCUUCUCUUUGUGUCUUCAGUGGCUGCAAUCAGCCGAAUCCUCCUCCACCUGUCUCCACCCACCUUCACCCAUCACCCUCCUCAAACCGUCUCCACCCACCUCCAUCCAUCUCCAUCCAUUAUCCUCUUCCACCCUCCUCCACCCGUCUCCACCCAUCCUCCCCAGAGUUUCACCCUCCAGUUCAUUCCCGACCAGUGGCUGAGGGGACCUGAGGGUCCCACCCCCUCCACCAGUCUCCAUGAGGGAUCGUCUAUUAUCUUCAUCUGGCACUGCAUUAUAAUCUGUGUUCCAUCUAGUCUCUCUUGUCUCGUGUGUGUGUGUGUGUGUGUGUGUGUGUGUGUUUGUGUGUGUGUGUGUGUGUGUGUGUGUGUGUGUGUGUGUGUGUGUGUGUGUGUGUGUGUGUGUGUGUGUGUCUCACGUACUGAGUUAAUUCCAGUGACUGAACAGCGCCUUGUCUCUCAGUUUAAGUUGGCAGGAAAUGUUUGCGGCGCAGUUCUUAUAAAAUAGCCGGAACGCCCCCUAGAUGUGUGCCAGAAGGUUUCCACAUGUAGCAUUAGAUAUGCCUCUUCUGCAGCAGAUGUUCCAAAUAGCGCCAUUUAGGGGUGUUGCCCUGCAAGUACAAACGGAACAUCGCGUCCUAGACCGAGCUCCUACUCCUCCUGUCCCAACUGCUCAACAACAAGCUCCUGGCUGGCACUGAGCAGGACUUCCACGGAGGGCCACAGGAAUCCUUCAUUCCUGUGGCCCUUAAGCUGUGAAAUACCUCUCUGACUGAGUCGCUUUGAACUGUGAUUAAACUCUGUCCCGUUAAACUCCAAGUCUUUUGAAUAUUUAUC
ensembl:lncRNA